AAGAACACUGACUGCUCUUGUAGAAAACCCAGGUUCAAUUCUCACCACCCACAUGGUGACUCACAACCAUCUUUUAAUUCUAGUUCUAGGGGACCUAGUUCUCUCUUCUAACUUCUAACCAGGUAUGCAUAUGGUAUACAUAUAUACAUGUAGGCAAAACAUUCAUCUACAUGUCUAAAAUUUGAGAAUAAAAUUUUGAAAUAAAAUAUGGUACAUACCUAUUCUCAGCACUUGAGAGGUUUAAGUGGAAGAAUUAACUUGAGGUCUGUCACUGCUACGCAGUGUAUUUGAGGAUCGCCUGGGCUACAUGACACCCUGUUCCCCUCUCCAAAUCCCUAUUUUUUUCAUGUGCUCAUUAUUUCUUGUCAGUUUAUACCUCAUCCUAUGCUGCUUCUGCCAUUUUUCCAGCACUUGCUCUUGUCUGGUUGUCUGAAAUGCUCUCGUUACCUUAUAAUUCUUUCCCUUAAGAUGUACGUACUUCCUCUGGUUUCCUCCACAUCAAAGAGAAGGAAUUGGUAUAUGUUUCCAGUUUGAAUUGAAAUACAUAAAUGCAUUCUAGCAAGGCUUAGUCUGAUUUUUCUAGUUGACUAGUGUUUUGUUUUGUUUUGUUUUGUUUUGUUUUGUUUUUCGAGACAGGGUUUCUCUGUAUAGCCCUGCUGGCUGUCCUGGAACUCACUUUGUAGAACAGGCUGGCCUCAAACUCAGAAAUCCGCCUGCCUCUGCCUCCCAAGUGCUGGGAUUAAAGGUGUAUGGCCACCACCGCCCAGCUCUAGUUGACUAGUAAUUUAUUAUGGCAGAUGCUCAGUAAAUGGGAAUGAAAAAAUGGUUUAGGAAUAAGGAGAAGGCCAAGGGAGCCCUCCCACAUCUGACUCAUGUUCCUCUGGUUUUCUUAGUUCUUAUGUCAUACAGUGAAUUUAUCUGUGUAAGAGUUAUAUUCCUCCAACAGUCCCUCCCACCAAGAAACAGCAAACGCUUUGAUUGCACUACCCUUUAUUUCCUAGGAUGGAAGUAUCUUAAAUCACAUCCUGGGCCUCAGAGUCCCGUGUGUUGAGGUUUCCAACCCCUCACAGAGAUGGAACAUGUUUAGGGAGGCUCACUGGCCAGGGUGGCCAAGGUCCCUUUCAAGGGGAUACACCAUGAAGAUGACAUUGUCCCAGGGAGGGAGGGCAGGAUGAUCUGGUCUAACCACCUCGAAGCCCAUGUAGCUAAAGGCUCGCAGCAGGGCACCUGUAGAAGAACAGAACAAAUGAUUAGAAUAGCCACUGAAGCUCAGCCCAUAUACUCCUCAUACAUGUUUUCUCAAGAGAGUGACUAGCAAGCAGGGUAGUGCAGGCGUAGGGUGUGCUUUGGAGUGAUAGACACGGGCUCUACCCUGCAUUUAUUAUUCAUUUUAAAUUCUAGUUAACCUUUCAGAUCUCCAGUUUACUCAUUUGCAAAGUGAGAAUGAGAACCUUCCUCACAGAUUUAAGAUGUGAUUAUUCAAGGAUGUAGUACAGUUAAGCAGCAUCUGGGCUUGGGGGAUAUUGUUUUGGUUGGUUGGUUGGGGGCUUGGGUAUUGUUUUGAUUGGUUGGUUGGGGGCUUGGGGGGUAUUGUUUUGGUUGGUUGGGUUUGUUUUUGUUGUUGGCUUUGCUUUUUUCAGUUUUGGUUUUGGUUUGAGAUGAGAUCUCACUAUGAAGCCAAUCUGACCUUGAGUGCAGAAUUCUUCUGCCUUAGCUUUUCAAAUGCUGGGAUCACAGGUUUGUACCAUAAUAUCCAGCUCAUUUUGUCUUAUAUCCAGCAGAAUAUAAACUCUUUGAGAGAUGAGCAAUAACAGACUACACCUGGUUAAAUAUAUUCCUGUCCUUCUAGCCCUACUACUGUGAGAGCUUGAUACAUUUGCUUGACAUUCUUUGUCAAUCCAUCAUAUCCCUUGAAUGGAUUCUGUAAUUUCUUCCAUGCUUCUUAUUCAUCCAAUUGUAAUGGUACUGAAUAUAAUGUUGUGUGCCUUAACUUCCUUUGCAACAGAAGUGGGGACAGGGUACUGAAGUGCCAGAGGGAAGAGGGACACACCUCUGUCCUUCCGAUCGAUUUGGAAGUUCACAAACACAGAGUCCACAUUGGUUUUCUCCUCCACAUACUCCAGUGUUGCUGUCAAGCUAGAGGCCAGAGAAAAAGUUAAUACUUAACUCAAAAUCCAGACAGACAGAAGAGGAGAAAUACUGGCAAGUGUUUGCUCUCUACCUACUGAAACUGGAAAAUAAAAAGUUGCUAAAGG
rnacentral:lncRNA from 1 species